rnacentral:rRNA from 1 species
GAUGAACGCUGGCGGCGUGCCUAAUACAUGCAAGUCGAGCGAACAGACGAGGUGCUUGCUCCUCUGACGUUAGCGGCGGACGGGUGAGUAACACGUGGAUAACCUACCUUUAAGACUGGGAUAACUUCUGGAAACCGGAGCUAAUACCGGAUAAUAUCUUUAACCGCAUGGUUCAAUAUUGAAAGACGGUUUUGCUGUCACUUAUAGAUGGCUCCGCUCCGCAUUAGCUGUUUGGUAAGGGAACGGCUUACCAAGGCGACGAUGCUUAGCCGACCUGAGAGGGUGAUCGGCCAAACUGGAACGGAGAAACGGUCCAGACUCCUACGGGAGGCAGCAGUAGGGAAUCUUCCGCAAUGGGCGAAAGCCUGACGGAGCAACGCCGCGUGAGUGAUGAAGGUCUUCGGAUCGUAAAACUCUGUUAUUAGGGAAGAACAAAUGUGUAAGUAACUAUGCACGUCUUGACGGUACCUAAUCAGAAAGCCACGGCUAACUACGUG